UGGGGAAUUUUGGACAAUGGGCGAAAGCCUGAUCCAGCAAUGCCGCGUGUGUGAAGAAGGCCUUCGGGUUGUAAAGCACUUUUGUCCGGAAAGAAAUCCUUGGCUCUAAUACAGUCGGGGGAUGACGGUACCGGAAGAAUAAGCACCGGCUAACUACGUGCCAGCAGCCGCGGUAAUACGUAGGGUGCAAGCGUUAAUCGGAAUUACUGGGCGUAAAGCGUGCGCAGGCGGUUUGCUAAGACCGAUGUGAAAUCCCCGGGCUCAACCUGGGAACUGCAUUGGUGACUGGGCAGGCUAGAGUAUGGCAGAGGGGGGUAGAAUUCCACGUGUGAGCAGUGAAAUGCGUAGAGAUGUGGAGGAAUACCGAUGGCGAAGGCAGCCCCCUGGGCCAAUACUGACGCUCAUGCACGAAAGCGUGGGGGAGCAAACAGGAUU
rnacentral:rRNA from 1 species